rnacentral:rRNA from 1 species
GACGCACGCUGGCGGCGUGCUUAACACAUGCAAGUCGAACGAAGUGGCGAAAGGGUGAGUAACGCGUAAUCAACCUGUCCUUCAGAGGGGGACAACAGUUGGACACGACUGCUAAUACCACAUACUGAAGGCGGGGAUUCCGUCUGAUUCGCUAGUUGGAGGGGUAACGGCCCACCAAGUCGGGGCUCAGUAGCCGGUCUGAGGGGAUGAACGGCAACAUUGGGACUGAGACACGGCCCAGACUCCUACGGGAGGCAGCAGUGGGGAAUCUUCCGCAAUGGACGAAAGUCUGACGGAGCAACGCCGCGUGAGUGAUGACGGCCUUCGGGUUGUAAAGCUCUGUUAAUCGGGACGCGGUACCGGAAUAGAAAGCCACGGCUAACUACGUGCCAGCCGCCGCGGUAAUUC